GACGAACGCUGGCGGCGUGCUUAACACAUGCAAGUCGAACGAUGAACCCGGAGCUUGCUCUGGGGGAUUAGUGGCGAACGGGUGAGUAACACGUGAGUAACCUGCCCUGGACUCUGGGAUAAGCGUUGGAAACGACGUCUAAUACCGGAUAGGACCUUGGAUCGCAUGAUCUGGGGUGGAAAGUUUUUUCGGUCUGGGAUGGACUCGCGGCCUAUCAGCUUGUUGGUGAGGUAAUGGCUCACCAAGGCGUCGACGGGUAGCCGGCCUGAGAGGGUGACCGGCCACCUUGGGACUGGGACACGGCCCAGACUCCUACGGGGGGCAGCAGGGGGGAAUAUUGCACAAGGGGGGAAGGCCGGAUGCAGCAACGCCGGGGGGGGGUUGACGGCCUUCGGGUUGUAAACCGCUUUUAGGAGGAAAGAAGGGCUUGGGUUGGACGGUACCUGCAGAAAAAGGACCGGCUAACUCCGU
rnacentral:rRNA from 1 species